CACACACAGAUGAUUCACUUCGUGGUACAGAGAAAUGAACAGAACACUGUAAAGCAAUUCCACUCCAAUAACAGAAGAGAAAGGAAAAAACCACAGGUCAGGACCGGGAGUCAGAGCUCUCAACCCUGGUCCUGCCGUGAACAAAGAGGUCACAUCCCCAGAUGCGUGGACACAUCCCCACUUCCUGGGAAUCCAGCUCCUUUCCUGUCUGAAUCGGACAGCCUUUCAAGAGCCACUGCCUCCAGGAAGUCCUCUCUGACUGCCCUCAUUUCACAUCCUCUGUACCCCGGUACCCCUGACUGUACAGACCAUGCCAUUCAAGGGGCCUGCA